GAUGAACGCUGGCGGCGUGCCUAAUACAUGCAAGUCGAGCGAACGGACGAGAAGCUUGCUUCUCUGAUGUUAGCGGCGGACGGGUGAGUAACACGUGGAUAACCUACCUAUAAGACUGGGAUAACUUCGGGAAACCGGAGCUAAUACCGGAUAAUAUUUUGAACCGCAUGGUUCAAAAGUGAAAGACGGUCUUGCUGUCACUUAUAGAUGGAUCCGCGCUGCAUUAGCUAGUUGGUAAGGUAACGGCUUACCAAGGCAACGAUGCAUAGCCGACCUGAGAGGGUGAUAGGCCACACUGGAACUGAGACGCGGUCCAGACUCCUACGGGAGGCAGCAGUAGGGAAUCUUCCGCAGUGGGCGAAAGCCUGACGGAGCAACGCCGCGUGAGUGAUGAAGGUCUUCGGAUCGUAAAACUCUGGUAUUAGGGAAGAACAUAUGUGUAAGUAACUGUGCACAUCUUGACGGUACCUAAUCAGAAAGCCACGGCUAACUACGUG
rnacentral:rRNA from 1 species